CAAACCAAAGCUGGCGACCGGCGCACGGGUGAGUAACACGUAUCCAACCUGCCUCAUACUCGGGGACAGCCUUUCGAAAGAAAGAUUAAUAUCCGAUAGCAUAUAUUUCCCGCAUGGGUUUUAUAUUAAAGAAAUUCGGUAUGAGAUGGGGAUGCGUUCCAUUAGUUUGUUGGGGGGUAACGGCCCACCAAGACUACGGUGGAUAGGGGUUCUGAGAGGAAGGUCCCCCACAUUGGAACUGAGACACGGUCCAA
rnacentral:rRNA from 1 species